UACGUAGGGUGCGAGCGUUAAUCGGAAUUACUGGGCGUAAAGCGUGCGCAGGCGGUAAUGUAAGACAGAUGUGAAAUCCCCGGGCUUAACCUGGGACCUGCAUUUGUGACUGCAUUGCUGGAGUGCGGCAGAGGGGGAUGGAAUUCCGCGUGUAGCAGUGAAAUGCGUAGAUAUGCGGAGGAACACCGAUGGCGAAGGCAAUCCCCUGGGCCUGCACUGACGCUCAUGCACGAAAGCGUGGGAGC
rnacentral:rRNA from 1 species